AUACGUAGGGUGCGAGCGUUGUCCGGAAUUACUGGGCGUAAAGAGCUCGUAGGUGGUUUGUCGCGUCGUCUGUGAAAUUCCGGGGCUUAACUCCGGGCGUGCAGGCGAUACGGGCAUAACUUGAGUACUGUAGGGGAGACUGGAAUUCCUGGUGUAGCGGUGAAAUGCGCAGAUAUCAGGAGGAACACCGGUGGCGAAGGCGGGUCUCUGGGCAGUAACUGACGCUGAGGAGCGAAAGCAUGGGUAGCGAACAGGAUUAGAUACCCUGGUAGUCCAUGCCGUAAACGGUGGGCGCUAGGUGUAGGGGUCUUCCACGACUUCUGUUCCGUAGCUAACGCAUUAAGCGCCCCGCCUGGGGAGUACGGCCGCAAGGCUAAAACUCAAAGGAAUUGACGGGG
rnacentral:rRNA from 1 species